GAGAGCUUAAUAGUGUUUCAUGCAAAUAUAAUAAUUCAUUUCAUAACUUUAAAAAUAUUUUAUCCUUCAAAGCAAGGUAGUGUUAUGGUUGCUUUAUGGUGAUGGCUUGAAAAUUGCAAAUUAAAGCACCUUUUUUUUUUAACAUAUAUUUUGCAAAUGCCAAGUCAAUGGAUCUUCUUAAGUUCUUAACAAUGGAAGCAUAUAAAGAAAAAGUUUAUAAUUGGAGCCUUUCUCAGUUGGUAGCAGCUAAUCUAAAAAUGAAUACUGGAAUUAAAAGACAAAUAAAUGUUAAAAGUUUCUUUCUGUACUGCCCACUGUAGUACCAGUCUGAC
rnacentral:misc_RNA from 1 species